rnacentral:rRNA from 1 species
AUACGUAGGGAGCGAGCGUUGUCCGGAAUUACUGGGUGUAAAGGGAGCGUAGGCGGGAGUGCAAGUCAGAUGUGAAAUACAUGGGCUCAACCCAUGGGCUGCAUUUGAAACUGCAUUUCUUGAGUGAAGUAGAGGUAAGCGGAAUUCCUGGUGUAGCGGUGAAAUGCGUAGAUAUCAGGAGGAACACCGGUGGCGAAGGCGGCUUACUGGGCUUUUACUGACGCUGAGGCUCGAAAGCGUGGGGAGCAAACAGGAUUAGAUACCCUGGUAGUCCACGCUGUAAACGAUGAUUACUAGGUGUGGGGGGACUGACCCCUUCCGUGCCGCAGUUAACACAAUAAGUAAUCCACCUGGGGGGUACGGCCGCAAGGUUGAAACUCAAAUGAAUUGACGGGG